rnacentral:rRNA from 1 species
UACCGUGAAACUGCGAAUGGCUCAUUAAAUCAGUUAUCGUUUAUUUGAUAGUACCUUACUACUUGGAUAACCGUGGUAAUUCUAGAGCUAAUACAUGCUAAAAACCCCGACUUCGGGAGGGGUGUAUUUAUUAGAUAAAAAACCAAUGCCCUUCGGGGCUCCUUGGUGAAUCAUAAUAACUUAACGGAUCGCAUGGCCUUGCGCCGGCGACGGUUCAUUCAAAUUUCUGCCCUAUCAACUUUCGAUUGUAGGGUAUUGGCCUACAAUGGUAUCAACGGGUAACGGGGAAUUAGGGUUCGAUUCCGGAGAGGGAGCCUGAGAAACGGCUACCACAUCCAAGGAAGGCAGCAGGCGCGCAAAUUACCCAAUCCCGACACGGGGAGGUAGUGACAAUAAAUACUGAUACAGGGCUCUUUUGGGUCUUGUAAUUGGAAUGAGUACAAUUUAAAUCCCUUAACGAGGAACAAUUGGAGGGCAAGUCUGGUGCCAGCAGCCGCGGUAAUUCCAGCUCCAAUAGCGUAUAUUAAAGUUGUUGCAGUUAAAAAGCUCGUAGUUGAACCUUGGGUCUGGCUGGCCGGUCCGCCUCACCGCGUGCACUGGUCCGGCCGGACCUUUCCUUCUGGAGAACCGCAUGCCCUUCACUGGGUGUGCCGGGGAACCAGGACUUUUACUUUGAAAAAAUUAGAGUGUUCAAAGCAGGCCUUUGCUCGAAUACAUUAGCAUGGAAUAAUAGAAUAGGACGUGCGGUCCUAUUUUGUUGGUUUCUAGGACCGCCGUAAUGAUUAAUAGGGAUAGUCGGGGGCAUCAGUAUUCAAUUGUCAGAGGUGAAAUUCUUAGAUUUAUUGAAGACUAACUACUGCGAAAGCAUUUGCCAAGGAUGUUUUCAUUAAUCAGUGAACGAAAGUUAGGGGAUCGAAGACGAUCAGAUACCGUCGUAGUCUUAACCGUAAACUAUGCCGACUAGGGAUCGGGCGAUGUUAUUCUUUUGACUCGYUCGGCACCUUACGAGAAAUCAAAGUUUUUGGG